AUAAGAACAAUAAUACUCCAUACUAAUUCUAACUUAAGGAACAUCCUUUUCUCUGAAAUUGGCAUUGGGAUCUCAGGCAACAGCUUCCUUCUUCUUUCACAUACUCAAGUUCAUUCGUGGGCACAGGUCCAGACUCUCUGACCUGCCCAUUGGUCUCUUGUCCCUAAUCUACCUACUGAUGCUACUAGUCAUGGCAUUCAUAGCCACAGACAUUUUUAUUUCUUGGAGGGGUUGGGAUGACAUCAUAUGUAAAUUCCUUGUGUACAUGUACAGAGUUUUGAGAGGCCUCUCCCUUUGUACCACCAGCAUGUUGAGUGUCCUCCAGGCCAUCAUCCUCAGUCCCAGAAGCUCCUGUUUAGCAAAGUUCAAGCAUAAAUCUCUCCAUCAUAUCUCAUGUGCCAUUCUUUUCCUGAGUGUCCUCAGUUGCUAUCAGUCACCACUUAGCAUCCAUCAUUGCCACCCCCAAUUUGACCACGAAUGACUUUGUUUAUAUUACUCAGUCCUGCUCUAUUCUACCCUUGAGUUACCUCAUGCGAAGUAUAUUUACUACACUGCUGGCCAUCAGAAACAUCUUUCUUAUUAGUCUCAUGGUCCUCUCAACUUGGUACAUGGUGGCCUCUUGUGCAGGCACAGGAAACAGACCCAGCAUCUUCAAGGAACCAGCCUGUCCCCAAAAACAUCCCCAGAACAAAGGGCUACCCAGAACAUCCUGAUGCUCAUGAGCUUCUUUGUGCUGAUGUCCAUCUUUGACACUGUUGUCUCCUGCUCAAGAACUAUGUUCCUGAAUGAUCCCACAUCUUACUAUAUGCAAAUCUUUGUAAUGCAUAGCUAUGUGACAGUCAGCCCUUUUGUGUUUUUGAGCACUGAGAAACAUAUAGUUAACUUCUUGAGGUCCACGGGUGAAAGGGUGAUAAAUGUUUGA
rnacentral:lncRNA from 1 species